ensembl:lncRNA
GCUUUGCGUUGAUUACUCGGUCAGACCUGGAUUAUUUUAUAUCUGCCUGUUGAAUUCUUACAUUUUGAGCGAAUUUUAGUUGAUAUGACAAUGAAGAUCAAAAGCUGGAAUGUGAACAGAGGAAGGGGGUCGUACGUGGUCUGUAAAUACUGGCGAUAUCAGAUCAAGCUUUGUAAUAAGAUUUUUAUCGGGGGAGAACACCCAACAGAAAGACCCAUGAUUCACCAACUGGCGCACUGAAAGGGGAGAUUCAUGUCACCUUCAUCAGUCCUUUCUUUAAUCACUGGACACCAUUAAGGGAAAGACCCUCAGACGUGUCAUAAUAGGAUAAAUGC